CUGGGCAGGGGCGGAGCCAAACCGGAUCUGCGAAGGAGGUGGCGGGUCUCACCUCUCUGCCACCCACCAGUUUUCAUUCCCCACCCCAUCGCCCCCAAUCCUGUCACCCCACCUCACCCCAGGUCUCAGCUUAAAAGUUCUUAUUUUAAGAGAUCCCUUUUGCAUCGCUCCCGGAUCUUAUUCUCUCUGGAUGCAGCCCUUAUCCUGAAGUUGGCCUGUGUCCUCCCUGUCCAUGCUUUUAUACUUCCGCUGCCUUGACAAUGCUGCAAUGAACAUCUUUGCACCUUGUUCCUGCCUCCCCGCCCCCCCCCCCCCCCCAUGCAACAGGCUCUCUCUUGGAAUAUGUCUAGAAACACAAAUUCUGGGGUGUGAGGUGUGAGCAUCGUCCAGCCCCCGGGGAUUGCCAGUUGCUCUGGGAGUGAAUGAAGCAAUUUCUACACCCACCCCCAGCAGGGAGUGAGUCCCUGUUUCCCCACAUCUUCACCAGUACUUAGUGAUGUCACCCUUUCAAUUUUUCAGGAUGAUGUCUUCUUGCCUCCUCCUCUGGGUGGUGAGAGGUGAUUCAUUGCUCAUGGUGGCCGAUCUUUGAAUUGAAUCCCCGGUGGACAUUUUUAAAUAUUUUGCAGUUUCUCCUUUCGCACAGACCAGCACAGAUAGGCUCUUGACCUGGGUGCCGUCGGUUUUCUGUAAGUGUUCAUAAUGCCAUCAGAAGAAAUGCCCUUGACCAGCCUCCUUGUUGCCUCCCUCCCAACACACUCUCCUUCCUCGAUGCAUUCGCGAGCUGCCCAUUCUAAGAAGAAUCAACAGAGCAGGGUUGGCUUCAUGGGUGAGUGACUGUUGAGGAAUGUCAUCAUCGAGAAAACAUGACCUCUGAUUGACCCAUGAGCUGGCUGGACCGGGGUACGCGGAGGAGGCUCCUCAUCCCUCCCCCACCCUUGGAAUGUGGGUUCUGCUUGCCUUUCCUUUUCCCAGAGGCUGCUCCGAGGUCAUAGUCUUGAGAGAGUGAUGUGCAUUGAGAACACCUACAUGGUAUAUGUGACUGAAACAGUUAAGGCCUCUUUAUAAACUUCUAGGAUUUGGCAGGUGGUGCGAGGAUCCGUUUUGUCUUGCUGCUGCCCAGGAGAACCUCGUAUAUAAGUUCCCUUUGCUUAUUAAAACUGUUACCCACCCACCUGGAGUAGGCUGCCUCUUUCUUCAGGCUCCCCCUUUGAGUACAGGGGCUGAUUUCAGAUUAUACACCGGGGAAGCUCCCAGGAGGGGUACAAACCAACCAUGACCUGC